rnacentral:rRNA from 1 species
CCUACGGGCGGCAGCAGUGAGGAAUAUUGGUCAAUGGGCGCGAGCCUGAACCAGCCAAGUAGCGUGAAGGAUGACUGCCCUACGGGUUGUAACUUCUUUUAUAAAGGAAUAAAGUGAGGCACGUGUGCCUUUUUGUAUGUACUGUAUGAAUAAGGAUCGGCUAACUCCGUGCCAGCAGCCGCGGUAAUACGGAGGCUCCGAGCGUGAUCCGGAUUUAUUGGGUUUAAAGGGAGCGUAGAUGGGUUGGUAAGUCAGUUGUGAAAGUUUGCGGCUCAACCGGAAAAUUGCAAUUGAUACUGGCAGUCUUGAGUACAGUUGAGGUAGGCGGAAUGCGUGGUGUAGCGGUGAAAGGCUUAGAUAUCACGAAGAACUCCGAUUGCGAAGGCAGCUUACUAAACGGCCACUGACAUUGAUGUUCGAAAGUGUGGGUAUCAAACAGGAUUAGAUACCCUAGUAGUC